UACGUAGGGUGCGAGCGUUAAUCGGAAUUACUGGGCGUAAAGCGUGCGCAGGCGGUCCGCAAAGUCUGAUGUGAAAGCCCCGGGCUCAACCUGGGAGCUGCAUUGGAAACUAACGGGCUCGAGUGUGGCAGAGGGGGGUGGAAUUCCACGUGUAGCAGUGAAAUGCGUAGAUAUCUGGAGGAAUACCGGUGGCGAAGGCGGCAUCCUGGACCGACAUUGACGCUGAGGAGCGAAAGCUAGGGGAGCGAACAGG
rnacentral:rRNA from 1 species